GAGAGGACGAUCAGGCACACUGGAACUGAGACACGGUCCAGACACCUACGGGUGGCAGCAGUCGAGAAUAAUUUCACAAUGGACGAAAGUCUGAUGGUGCAACGCCGCGUGGAGGAUGACGGUCCUUCGGAUUGUAAACUUCCCGUCAUCCAGGGAGUAAGAACCUGGGUUGUUUAAUAGCACACAGGGGUUUGAUAGUACCUUGAAGAGGAAGGGGACGGCUAACUUCUCGUGCCCAGCAGCCCGCGGUAAUACGAAGGUCCCCAAGCGUUUGUUUCGGGAAUCACUGGGGCGUAAAGGGGAGCGUAGGCUGUGUGUGUAAGUCAGAUGGUGAAAAUCCCCGGGGCCUCAACCCCCGGAACUGCAUCUCGAAUACUGCCGCACUAGAGGAUAUGGGAGAAAGUAAACAGGAAUUUCCACGGUGGUAGCAGUGAAAAUGGCGUAAAUAUCGCUGAGGGAAAGAAACAAUGGGCGAAAGCAUGUUUACUGGACAACUUCCUGACGCUGAAGGCUCGAAGGCUAAGGGUAGCGAAAGGGAUUAAAAUACCCCUGUAGUCCUAGCAGU
rnacentral:rRNA from 1 species